GACGAACGCUGGCGGCGUGCCUAAUACAUGCAAGUUGAGCGAUGAAGAUUGGUGCUUGCACCAUUUUGGAGAGCAGCGCACGGGUGAGUAACGCGUGUGACCUCUCCCUUUGAGCGGGGGACCACCUUUGGACACGAAUGCUAAUACCGCAUAACCACUUUCAACAUAAGUUUUAAGGUUGAAAGAUGCAAUUGCAUCACUCAAUGAUGAUUCCGCGUUGUAUUGGCUAGGUGGUGAGGUACAGGCUCACCAAGGCGAGGAUACAUAGCCGAACUGAGAGGAUGAGCAGCCACAUUGGGACUGAGACACGCCCCAAACGGCUACGGGAGGCAGCAGUAGUGAAUCUUCGGCAAUGGACGAAAGUCUGACCGAGAAACGCCGCGUGAGUGAAGAAGAAUGUCGGAUCGUAGAACUCGGUUGGUAGAGAAGAACGUGGGUGAGAGUGGAAAGCUCAUCGAGUGACGGUAACUACUAAGAAAGGAACGGCUAACUACGUG
rnacentral:rRNA from 1 species